AAUGGGGGAAACCCUGAUCCAGCAAUGCCGCGUGAGUGAUGAAGGCCCUAGGGUUGUAAAACUCUUUCAGAAGUGAAGAUGAUGACGGUAACUUCAGAAGAAGCUCCGGCUAACUCCGUGCCAGCAGCCGCGGUAAUACGGAGGGAGCUAGCGUUGUUCGGAAUUACUGGGCGUAAAGAGCGUGUAGGCUGUUAGGUAAGUCAGAGGUGAAAUCCCUAAGCUCAACUUAGGAACUGCCUUUGAUACUAUCUUACUAGAGAUCGAGAGAAGUUAGCGGAAUUCCAAGUGUAGAGGUGAAAUUCGUAGAUAUUUGGAAGAACACCAGUGGCGAAAGCGGCUAACUGGCUCGUAUCUGACGCUGAGACGCGAAAGCGUGGGUAGCAAACAGGAUU
rnacentral:rRNA from 1 species